CGUAGGUAUGCGAGCGUUGUCCGGAUUUAUUGGGCGUAAAGAGUUCGUAGGCGGUUCGUUAAGUUCGAUGUUAAAGAUCGGGGCCUAACCCGGGACUGCAUUGAAUACUGGCGGACUGGAGUGCAGUAGAGGCGAGUGGAAUUCCCAGUGUAGCGGUGAAAUGCGUAGAUAUUGGGAAGAACACCAGUGGCGUAAGCGACUCGCUGGGCUGUAACUGACGCUGAGGAACGAAAGCCAGGGUAGCGAAUGGGAUUAGAUACCCCAGUAGUCCUGGCCGUAAACGAUGGAUACUAGGCGUAGCGGGUAUCGACCCCUGCUGUGCCGCAGCUAACGCGAUAAGUAUCCCGCCUGAGUAGUACGGCCGCAAGGUUG
rnacentral:rRNA from 1 species